CUUAACCAUCACUCACACCCACUUUGCAUGGACACCUAUAUCAAAUUGAUUGUUGUUUACAAGGCCUUGGAACUAGACUAGUUCCUCAUGGCCCUUACUUCACUGUUAUGUAUCACACAAUGACAAGACAGAUUGUCAUCAGUUAACCAAUAAGAAGGACAAAAAAUAAAGAAAAGAAAAGGAAACUGAUAUGGAUAAACUUAAACAAAAUUGCCAAAGACAACACAAGUUAAAAAUUUGGAAAAUAAUUCCAAAAAAAUUUGAUAAGAAAACUCUAACAUUCAAAAAGCCUCAAGAGCCAAACAAGUAAAUCUCAAGUGGUAGAAAUGAAGGCACCAGAAAAGGAAUAUAUUCCAGAAAGCCAGAGAGUUUACUGUCAUUACUGAAAUUGUGACACCCACCACUGCACUUUCUCAUAAUGGUAACGCUCUGCUAUUAAGGAAUCAAGAGUUUCGCUAUAAGGGAGAAAAGAUGCAAUAUGUGAUCAAAGAAGGUAAAGAAGAGCUAAGCAAUAUUAAAUGCAAACUGGAAAUAUUAGUAGGGGCUCGAGAUUUUUUUAUAUGUGUUUUCCAGCUCUACUCUCUGGAUGGAUGUAGAAACAAUGACAUCUCUGUAACAAUGAGCACAUUUUAUGUCCAGACCUUGUAUUCUAAACAUCAUUCUCCACUGAAAGAAACCAGAGAAACUUGGAGAAAUGCUUAUUCCAGGUCUAAGUCAGGGGAAAUAUAAAGUAAAUCUGAAAAAUCUUGUUGUACUAGAAAGAAAU
rnacentral:lncRNA from 1 species